rnacentral:rRNA from 1 species
CCCUUAGAUGUUCUGGGCUGCACGCGCGCUACACUGAAGCUAUCAACACGUUUUCCCUCCCUGAGGAGGGCGGGUAACCUUUUGAAUCAGCUUCGUGGUAGGGAUCGGGGCUUGCAAUUGUUCCCCGUGAACCAGGAAUUCCUAGUAGACGCGAGUCAUAAGCUCGCAUCGAUUAAGUCCCUGCCCUUUGUACACACCGCCCGUCGCUACUACCGAUUGAACGUUUUAGUGAGGCAUUUGGACCGACGCAUCUCAGUUUAACCGCUGGUUUGUGUUGGAAAGACUUCCAAACUUGAGCGUUUAGAGGAAGUAAAAGUCGUAACA